AGAGAGAGAGAGAGAGAGAGAGAGAGAGAGAGAGAGAGAGAGAGAGAGAGAGAGAGAGAGAGAGAAUUGCACAUGGAGGCUACAACUUGACGUUGCUCUGAACACACACACACACACAUACACACACAGAGAGAGAGAGAGAGAGAGAGAGAGAGAGAGAGAGAGAGAGAGAGAGAGAGAGAGAGAGAGGAUUCAAGUGUUUAUUACAAACCUGACAAAUAUUAUUAUCAACAUCAUUAUUGUUUUUACUCUACAGAUCCUUCUGCAAGUGGAGGAGGAGAUUGACGAGCCAGACCAGCAGACAGGCGACCCUUCAGCAGAGCUGCAAGUGGAGGAGGAGAUUGACGAGCCAGACAAGCAGACAGGCGACCCUUCAGCAGAGAGACAGCUGCAGGUGGAUGAUGUGCACGUGAGUGAUGAGCCAUACGGCCAGACAGGUGUUCAUCCACAAGCAGAGUCAGCCAUGCCACUGACCACUGCAGAGGUUGGGGCCCCACACCACUCACAGACAGUGCAGCACACACCUGAUACAACAUUCCAAGCAGCGCCGCCAGGCAGACCCAAGCAGAUUAUGACUGCACAGACUUUCUUUUGUAAUUUUAAUAUCAAGAAAGCAGUGGACUUAAUGGUAGAAUGCUGGCACUUUGUCAAUAUUGCAACGGUGAAGCAUGGAUGGAGGAAG